rnacentral:rRNA from 1 species
ACUCCUACGGGAGGCAGCAGUGGGGAAUUUUGGACAAUGGGCGAAAGCCUGAUCCAGCAAUGCCGCGUGAGUGAAGAAGGCCUCGGUUGUAAGACUCUUUGUUCUAGGGAAGGAAACGGUAGAGAGCUAAUAUNCUCUUGCUAAUGACGGUACCUGAAGAAUAAGCACCGGCUAACUACGUGCCAGCAGCCGCGGUAAUACGUAGGGUGCAAGCGUUAAUCGGAAUUACUGGGCGUAAAGCGUGCGCAGGCGGUUUUGUAAGUCUGAUGUGAAAUCCCCGGGCUCAACCUGGGAAUUGCAUUGGAGACUGCAAGGCUAGAAUCUGGCAGAGGGGGUAGAAUUCCACGUGUAGCAGUGAAAUGCGUAGAUAUGUGGAGGAACACCGAUGGCGAAGGCAGCCCCCUGGGUCAAGAUUGACGCUCAUGCACGAAAGCGUGGGGAGCAAACAGGAUUAGAUACCCUGGUAGCGACUGA